UACGGAGGGUGCAAACGUUGCUCGGAAUCAUUGGGCGUAAAGGCGUGCGCAGGCGGUGAUGUAAGACAGAGUGUGAAAACUCCCCGGGGCUCAACCUGGGACCUGCAUUUGUGACUGCAUCGCUAGAGUACGGCAGAGGGGGAUGGAAUUCCGCGUGUAGCAGUGAAAUUCGUAGAUAUUGGGAAGAACACCGGUGGCGAAGGCGGCGCUCUGGACCGAGACUGACGCUGAAGGCG
rnacentral:rRNA from 1 species